UGCACUGUUACAGUAAUUCUGAUUGUAUUGCUGGUCAGUUGCCGCGGCUAUUCUUGUUGCUCAACCUUUUCUGUGGUCCCCGAACCCCUUCUGCUGCUGUCAUAGCUCCAAGUUAUUCACACUUGCUUAACAGCCAGUCGAUCGCUAAGCUGCUUCGACGCCUCGUCGAUCAUUUGGUUCGACAAGAAUAGCCAAAGUGUUAACUACACUCGAUCAGAGCGGUUGGAUGUUCAAUUUUUCGCUCGCUUUUCGAUUUAUAAUAAGGACAAUAAAUAAACACGCUCGCUUUGCGCUAAACAAUUGAAACGCGAUCGGGAAUGUAAAUUGAAAUUAGGAAGAAAAAAACGAUUUUUAUGUUUGAAAUCUUGCAUAGUAUAGUGAUUUAGUUAAAAAUUUUUUUCGCCAUUUUUCUGCGGAAUAAACGGACAUAUGCGCGUACUACUGCUGCCGAAAACAAAAGUUGUUACUUUCGUUCAUAUCAGAGUUGUUAGUCAAGUUGUAGUGUAAUGAGGUGAAUUCUUCUUAUGCGAAGCAUCCUCCACGUGAAUCUUACUACUCUGAUGGCUUCUCACUUUCAGUAAGAACUGGUUUCAGAUUUUCACAAUGAGAAUCUUAAACUGUAAAUACUCCUGGCGCAAUAGCUGCAUGCAGCAUAAUUCCCUGCGACUGCAACGGCAUUGCAGUUUGCAAUACGAUAUUACCAAAUACUAGCUUCCCUUGCAAAAGUUGAUCGUUCGCUGGCUUGUGCUAGCAAAAAGAAAAAAAAAACUUGUUUUUUCCUUAUUAUACGUGAGUGUGUGC